AAAUAAAAACUUUAUAGAAAUAUAAUUGAUACGAAAUAAAAAUUUAUACAUAAAUAUAUGUAAGUAUAUAAAGAGACUAUUAGGAAAUACUAGCUAUGUAUUAAAGAGAUUUAUAUUUAUCCCAUUAAUUAGGAUAAUAAACUCUAAGAGAAAUCAGAUAAUAAACGAAGCGAAUUGAAUUAUCUUAUUAGCUUCAGGAAAAGAAAUCAAAAGAGAUUCUAUGAUUAGCGUGAGCAAAAAUAGAUAAGUCUAAAUAAUAAGUAAAAUGACUUUAAAGUUGUUUGAAUAUAAUGGGGAACCUUCCUCAAAGACUAAAUAUAAUACAUAAGCGAUAGUGAAAUAGUACCGUGAGGGAAAAGUAAGUAGAAUUAGUAGUUUUAUAAGCAGCUCGAGCGAAAGCAAGAGCGUACCUUUUGCAUAAUGGGUCACCAAGUUAAUUUUAGAUGCGAGCUAAUUAAUAAGCGUAGUUAAACCGAUCAUGAAAAGAAUGAAGAGUAUCUAAAAUUAGACCCGAAGUACAGUGAUCUUACCAUAGUCAGGACUAUAAAGGUCCGAACGGGUUAUCGUUGCAAAGAUAUCCGAAGAAUUAUGGUAAGUAUAGUGAAAGACAAUCCGUGACUGUAUUAGCUGGUUUUCUGCGAAACCUAUAACAGUAGGCAGUUUAAGUUACAUCUUUACAGGUACAGAACUUAAUCUCAGACAAGGUGUAUAUUAAAAUACAUUUUAUUUUGUAUAGAUCGGGGGAUCAUAAAGAUUUUACCGGUGAGUUUGUGGACUCGAAAUGGUAAAGAUGAAUCUUAAAUUAUCGGACAUAGAAUGAUAAGGUUGUAUGUCAAAAGGGAAACAGCCCAGAACAAGAGUUAAGGUUCCGAAGUUAUUAUUAAGUGAAAUUAAGAAGGUUUUUAUCUAAGUCGACAAGGAGAUUGGCUUAGAAGCAGCCAUAAUUUAAAGACCUCGUAUCAGAGCACUUGUUAAAUGUUAAAAGCGUCGAAAAUUUAACGGAUCUAAAUAAUACACCGAUACCUUGUCUAUAAAUGAUUAUAAUUAUUCUAAUUAUUUAUGGGGUAGCAGAACGUUGAGUUAAUUUUAGUGUUUUUUUUUAUAAAAAAAAUAAUAUUAUAACUCAAGUGAGAAUGGUGACAUGAGUAACGAAAAAGAAAAUUUUAUAAUUAUAAUUAAAUUAUAAUUAUAAAAUACUCGCCUAAAGCUUAUGGUUAUGAUAAGUAACGGCCUCUAAGUUUAUAACCUGAAGGUUAAAACGAUGAGAAAAUUCUUAUUACUAUUAAUGACAACAUUUUUAAGUGGAAAGUGUACAGGAAAUAAUUAGUAAUACUGUAUUAAAAAUACAAUAACCGUUCCUAGGAACUACAACAAGUAAGCUAGUAGAGAAUACGAAGGCGCAUGAGAUAACAAUCUUAAAGGAACUCGGCAAAUUGACUACCGUAACUUAGGGAUAAGGAGGGCUCAUUUCUCCUGAUUAAUAUCAGGUAAAAAGGAAGAAGCAUAAAAUAAUGUUGUACGACUGUUUAAUUAAAACAAAGCACUUUGCAGAAAGAUGAUAAAUCUAAGUAUUGAGUGUGAUGUCUGCCCGAUGCCGGCUGGUUAACGAAAUCUACUAAAUUAUAAAAAUUUGGUUUUUAAGGAACCCCCGGUCAAUGGCGGCCUUAACGUGAGGGUCCUAAGGUAGCGAAAUGCCUUGGCCGUUAAAUGCGGUCUUGCAUGAAUGAUAUAACGAUACAACAGCUGUCUCUAAGAUUGACUCAGUGAAAUUGGAAUAACUGUGCAGAUACAGUUUACCUCUAGGUAGACGAGAAGACCCUAUGCAGCUUUACUGUUACUAAUUAUUGGAUAUAAUCCAAACAAAUUUUAGUUUAGAAGGUUCAUCGAUUAGAUAAAAGUGAAAGACCUUUAUUUGUUUAUUAUAUUAUAAACCUUGAAUUAAAAAGGAACAGUUGUUAGAAGACAGUUUAUGUGGGGCACAGACCCCUUAAAGAGUAAAAGGGUGUAUCUAAAAUUAUAACUUAUAUUAUUAUAUAAGUUUAUUAUAUAUUUUAUUGUUUGUAAUUAUUUUUAACUUUGUUAUAUUUAAUCAUAUAUUUUUGUGUAUAAAUAUAUACAUGUUAUUAGGUAAGAUUACCCUAUUGAGAAAUUAGGAGUAUAAUAAUAUAUUGUAUUUAUAUAAUAUAUUAUAAUUAUUAUGGUUUUAAUCAUUAAUAAUCAUGUUUAAUACUUAUUAAGUUGAAUGGCUUAAUCUUGCUUUACUGUUUGAUUCACAACAAAUCUUACAGUCGCGUAAGCGGGGCAUUGGAUCACAAGAUACAACAAGGAAAGGUCUUGGAUUAUUGGAAAAGCUACGCUAGGGAUAACAGGCUAAUUUGCGCAAGAGUGUGCAAAAUGAGUGCGCGGUUUGGCACCUCGAUGUCGGCUUAACUUAUCCUCAUGGAUGCAGAAACUAUGUAGGGUACGACUGUUCGUCGAUUAAAAAGUUACAUGAGCUGGGUUAAGUACGUCGUGAGACAGUACGGUUUCUAUCUUCUAGGGGGAAUUAGAAUAUAAUAAGGAUUAACCUUGUACGAAAGGAACCUGGGCAACGCCUUAUUCCCAAAAGGAAUAACGGUUUUAUUAACCUCUGGUUUAUCUGUUGUUUAUGUGCCCAAUUAUUAAUUUAGGUAUAAUAGUAAUAUUAUACAGGGAUGUUACUUUCACUUAGGUAAAUGUAUAGCAUAGGCAUGGCAGAAAAGCUAAGUUAGUCAGAGAUAAGUGCUGAAAGCAUAUAAGCACGAAGCUCACCUUAAGAUAUUUCUUAAAUAUACGUAAAAGAAUAUUACGUAAUAGGCUUAGUUUGUAAUAAUCUAGAGAUUUUUAGAUACUAAGUACUAAUUUUAUAAAUAACUGAAUAUUUAUCGU
rnacentral:rRNA from 1 species